rnacentral:rRNA from 1 species
UACGUAGGGGGCAAGCGUUAUCCGGAUUUACUGGGUGUAAAGGGGGCGCAGACGGCGAUGCAAGCCAGGAGUGAAAGCCCGGGGCCCAACCCCGGGACUGCUCUUGGAACUGCGUGGCUGGAGUGCAGGAGGGGCAGGCGGAAUUCCUGGUGUAGCGGUGAAAUGCGUAGAUAUCAGGAGGAACAUCAGUGGCGAAGGCGGCCACCUGGACCGGUAUUGACGCUGAGGCGCGAAAGCGUGGGGAGCAAACAGG